GCGCAUGAACUCGUAGUCCCUCUGGUCCUGGAACUGUAGAAGCGCGGCAUCGACCCCGACGGUAAUCGGUUGCGCAAUCAUUGCCCGCGUGGCGUUCCGAUCAGCGACGCCGAUUGAUCCUGCGCAUUCUAUGGCUCCAGGCAUCGGA
rnacentral:sRNA from 1 species